UUUUCUAAUAUCUUAAGCAGUUCAGACAGUGACUUGCUUGAGUCAUCUUCUGAAGCUUUAAAAACAAUUGAUGAAUUGGCCUUCAAGAUAGACCUAAAUAGCACAUCACAUGUGAAUAUUACAACUCGGAACUUGGCUCUCAGCGUAUCAUCCCUGUUACCAGGGACAAAUGCAAUUUCAAAUUUUAGCAUUGGUCUUCCAAGCAAUAAUGAAUCGUAUUUCCAGGUAAUGAGCCAGUGGUUUCUUUCAUUUUAAUUAAUUAGUUAGACAUAUAAAAACUUGCUGAUCACUUAGCAGUUGCUGCUUCCAAGAGGUCUUGGUCCAUGAAGUGGCAAGGUCUGAAUGUUGGCUAAGUUUAACUAGAGCAGUAGCCAUAAAGUAUUGUGGGAGCUCAGAGUGGGUAUGCUUUCAUAAUCUGGGUGACAGGGGUGGUCAGCUUACCUUCUACAAGAGGGGUUACUGGAGCUAAGCAUGAGUAGGGGCCACCAUACUUGGGGU
rnacentral:lncRNA from 10 species